UAAGUACUUUAUUUCUAUUCUGUAUCAAAAAAUUUUCAAACCACCCUCGUUAUUUCACCAAAAACAGAUACUACAUUUUCAGGUCAUGAAUCACUGAUUCGAAAAUUAUAAAGUGCACCAACGUUAUACCCUACUAUGGCUACAGCACAGCAAUUUUGAUCAACCGAAUAUGGUGAUGAUUUCAAAUUCUGGCAUUGUUAAACAAUAACAAGUUGUAAAGGAAAGGCAUGUCACACAGUGUCCUGGAUGAAAGGACCCCGAAUCUUACAAUAUUGCAGCGCCUGUGUUCAGAAGUAGGAUGCAAAGUUCCUUCAGACUGAAGGAACAGGCACUGCAGUUACUAUAGCCAUUAAGAAACACUUGAUGUAUUCACAGCUGCAAAUAUUGACAAAACAUGAGUGGUAUAAUGGAAUGACAACAAUGAAAAUCUGUGCUGGACUGGGACUUGAAUCCGUAUUUUCCAGUUACCCAUGAGCAGUAACCUUACCAUUAGGCUAUCCGAGCAUGACUCAUGGUCAGACCCAAAAUUCCAUAUGCCUCACCCAUGUGUCUACGACCUGCACUCGUACAUUCAUUAUAUAUAUUCCUGUAUGGGGAACACAUUUUAAUUGAAAGUCACUUGCCCAUUAUUGAUGGACAAAUACGAAAUUGUAGUGCCUGUGUGGUUCAGAAGUACAAUGCAAAGUUCCUUCAGACGUGCAUGCAUAUCCGAAGGAACUUUGUAUUGUACUCCUGAACCACACAGGCACUACAAUGUCAUAUUUAUUCAUCAAUAAUGGGCAAGUGACUUUCGAUUAAAAGUCUCCCUCAUAGAGGAAUAUACAUAAUGAAUGUACAAGUGCAGGUUGUAGACACAUGGUUGAUGGCAUAUGGAAGUUUAGAUAUGGCUGUGAGUUGUGCUUGGAUAGCCCAAUGGUAAGGUGACCACUUGCGAUAAUGGGAAACCCAGGUUCAAGUUUCAGUCCAGCACAGACUCGUCAAUAUAUGCAACUGCACAUACAUUCCCUGUAGAGAUGAGUCUUUCUCAUCCUACAAUUUGGGUGAUGUGGCCUCCCUUUUCAACAUUCUCCAACACAUCCCUCUCUCCUUGCCAGGGAAGGAACCAACAUUUCUGAAAGCUAGGGUAGUGUGUCACUUGGUAGGACUACACAAAUUCACAAAAUAUCACUUUCUGGUCUGAAGCAUUAAUAUUGGUACAAAUAUAAAAUCCUUCAAAUGUGGCAUAAAUUUCUUGCUGUUUGUUACUUUUUCUCUGUGGUUCUGCAUACAUGAUGUGUUUUAAAAAAUACUGUGCACAUUUGCAAUUCUUGCUUUAUCAAGUUAACAAACUGAAAAACUAACAGAGUUUCAAAGAAAUCUGAGUUGUAUCUACCCACCAACUUGGUACUCUUUUACUGACAAAAGGAAAUAAUUCCCAUCCAACAUUAGCAAAUGCCUGUUUAUUUCAUAAGUGAAUCAAGUGUACUGUACACAAUAAGUGCCUAAAAUAUUUUCUGAAAAGCAAGGAGUAGAGGCAGGUCACAAGCAGGAGUAUUUCUAGAUCUUAAUUCAUUUAAUUAGUUUUUGAAGAAUAAGUCCCAUACAAAUAUGAUAGAAUCUGCUUGUAUCAACAACAAUUGUGUCACACUACAUAGUGUUGUGCAUAAUAUCACAGUCAUCACAGCAUGGAUAUGGCAGUAAAGGAAAUAACAUUACCACAUCAGAAACAUGACAUUAGAAAGGCAGGCGCAAUGCACAAUAAAACAUGUAAUUGAGUAACAAUGUACAGCUACCUAUUAAAUGAUUUCUAAUUAUAGUAAGAUAACUGCAAUCAUUCAAUUUUCUGUUACUAUCAUACAUUUCAGUGUCUCAGAAUUUCAAAUCAUACACUACAGAUUACAUUAAGCAGCACAACAAUUUUAAUUAAUUUCUCUGACUGUUGCAAAACUUAUACUUAAAAGACAAAAAUCAGCUGUAAUGUAGCUUAAUGUACAUUUUGUACAAUUUGUAAAUAUGCAAUCGAAUCAGUCCUACAAUUAUCAAUCACGAGACCGAGGGUUUUCCUUGUCCCACAAUAAAAUACAUACAGGAUAUUUUUACUUUACAGAAUCAAAUUAUAUAUAGUCUCCCUAUAUACAAUAAUUACAUUAACUCAACAGAAAACAAAAG